GAUGAACGCUGGCGGCGUGCCUAAUACAUGCAAGUCGAGCGAACAGACGAGAGUGCUUGCACUCUCUGACGUUAGCGGCGGACGGGUGAGUAACACGUGGGUAACCUACCUAUAAGACUGGGAUAACUUCGGGAAACCGGAGCUAAUACCGGAUAAUAUUUAGCUUCGCAUGAAGCAAUAGUGAAAGACGGUUCUGCUGUCACUUAUAGAUGGACCCGCGGUGUAUUAGCUAGUUGGUGAGGUAACGGCUCACCAAGGCAACGAUACAUAGCCGACCUGAGAGGGUGAUCGGCCACACUGGGACUGAGACACGGACCAGACUCCUACGGGAGGCAGCAGUAGGGAAUCUUCCGCAAUGGACGAAAGUCUGACGGAGCAAUGCCGCGUGAGUGAAGAAGGUGUUCGGAUCGUAAAACUCUGUUGUAAGGGAAGAACAAGUACGUUAGUAACUGAACGUACCUUGACGGUACCUUACCAGAAAGCCACGGCUAACUACGUG
rnacentral:rRNA from 1 species